rnacentral:lncRNA from 1 species
UGUUGAGUUCCCGGUAAUCGAUGCACAUGCGAAAAGAUCCAUCCUUCUUCUUUACGAACAAGACUGGUGCUCCCCAAGGUGAGAAGCUCGGCCUGAUGAACCCUUUGUUGAGUAGUUCAUUUAGUUGGCUGGAUAGUUUAGUUCCUGCUUCUCUGCCGGUGCUAGACGGUAUGGCGACUUGGCUACUGGUGUAGUUCCGGGAAUUAAGUCGAUUCUGAACUCGACUUGACGUUUUGGUGGAACUCUGGGAAGAUCUUUAGGGAAGACAUCGGGAAAAUUACAGACUUCUGGAAUGUCUCUGAUGCCUUUUGUUUCUUUUUCCUUAUCUACCAUGUGGGCUAAGAAGGCAUGGUACUCUUUACGUAGGUAUUUUUGGGCUUUGACGCAAGAGANCUUUACGUAGGUAUUUCUGGGCUUUGACGCAAGAGAUGAUUUGUAAAUUGGUACUGGGUUUGUCACCAUAAAU